rnacentral:tRNA from 3 species
GCGAAGGUGGUGGAAUUGGCAGACACGCUAGACUUAGGAUCUAGUGGGUUUACCCCGUGCGGGUUCGACUCCCGCCCUUCGCACCA